rnacentral:rRNA from 1 species
GACGAACGCUGGCGGCGUGCUUAACACAUGCAAGUCGAACGGAAAGGCCCUGCUUUUGUGGGGUGCUCGAGUGGCGAACGGGUGAGUAACACGUGAGUAACCUGCCCUUGACUUUGGGAUAACUUCAGGAAACUGGGGCUAAUACCGGAUAGGAGCUCCUGCUGCAUGGUGGGGGUUGGAAAGUUUCGGCGGUUGGGGAUGGACUUGCGGCUUAUCAGCUUGUUGGUGGGGUAGUGGCUUACCAAGGCUUUGACGGGUAGCCGGCCUGAGAGGGUGACCGGCCACAUUAGGACUGAGCUACGGCCCAGACUCCUACGGGAGGCAGCGGUGGAGAAUAGUGCACAAUGGGCGGAAGCCUGAUGCAGCAACGCCGCGUGCGGGAUAACGGCCUUCGGGUUGUAAACCGAUUUCGCCUGUGACGAAGCGUGAGUGACGGUAAUGGGUAAAGAAGCACCGGCUAACUACGUG